rnacentral:rRNA from 1 species
GGAUUGACACGUCGGUCGUGCCUUAAGGGGUAUGAACUGGCGUAGUCAAUUUCUCACCUUCUGGAGAACCGCGCUGUCCUUAAUUGGGUGACGCAGGGAACCAGGACCUUUACUUUGAAAAAAUUAGAGUGUUCAAAGCAGGCUAACGUCUGAAUACAUUAGCAUGGAAUAAUGAAAUAG